UACGUAGGUGGCGAGCGUUGUCCGGAAUUACUGGGGGUAAAGCGCGCGUAGGCGGUAGGCCAAGUCUGCUGUGAAAUCGCCCGGCUCAACUGGGCGCGGUCGGUGGAAACUGGUCAACUGGAGGACGGUAGAGGCGAGUGGAAUUCCCGGUGUAGUGGUGAAAUGCGUAGAGAUCGGGAGGAACACCAGUGGCGAAGGCGGCUCGCUGGGCCGGACCUGACGCUGAGGCGCGAAGGCGUGGGGAGCGAACGGG
rnacentral:rRNA from 1 species